rnacentral:rRNA from 1 species
UGUGAACUGCAGGACACAUGAACAUCGACAUUUCGAACGCACAUUGCGGUCCUCGGAUUCUGUUCCCGGACCACUCCUGGCUGAGGGUCGUGUCAAUUUCAAAGACUGCUCGGCGAUGAUGCUGGUGUGUUGUGUUCAAUACGAAGAACACACAUAAUAAACACCUAUAUCUACGUGUCGGAGCGUGAUGGACGUUAUACGCAUUUCUUGUUUGAAAUGCGACGUCUUAAAACACGAUAGUGCCCAAAUAAUUGUUUGUUAACAUCAAGAACAACAGCAAUUAUGGUUGGACGAUAACAGCGCAUACACAUCAUCCAUUUAUUACCAAAAUAAAUGUUUACGUAUCAAAUAAGUACGUUGUAAAAUUAAGCGAUCGUCGUGUCCGAUACAUUUUUGACGACGUCAGAUCGCAUUUACGCGCGUACAAGAUAUAUAUGAACGUAUGGUAAAAGCAAAAAUGGACGAAACGUAUGAUGUUGAAUAUUAUUGAAAAACGAUACUAUCGACCUCAGAGCAGGUGAGACUA